rnacentral:rRNA from 1 species
CUGAGUUUAAGCAUAUAAAUAAGCGGAGGAGAAGAAACUUACGAGGAUUCCCCUAGUAACGGCGAGCGAACCGGGAGCAGCCCAGCUUGAGAAUCGGGCGGCCUCGCCGCCCGAAUUGUAGUCUGGAGAGGCGUCCUCAGCGACGGACCGGGCCCAAGUUCUCUGGAAAGGGACGCCUGGGAGGGUGAGAGCCCCGUCCGGCCCGGACCCUGUCGCACCACGAGGCGCCGUCAACGAGUCGGGUUGUUUGGGAAUGCAGCCCAAAUCGGGCGGUAAACUCCGUCCAAGGCUAAAUACAGGCGAGAGACCGAUAGCGAACAAGUACCGCGAGGGAAAGAUGAAAAGGACUUUGAAAAGAGAGUCAAAGAGUGCUUGAAAUUGCCGGGAGGGAAGCGGAUGGGGGCUGGCGACGCGCACCGGCCGUAUGCGGAACGGCUCCUGCUGGUCCGCCGAUCGGCUCGGGGCGUGGACCGUUGUCGCCCGCGCCGGCGGCCAAAGCCCGGGGGCCCUAGGCGCCCCCGGCAGCCGUCGUCGGCGCGGACGGUAUCCGCGCGCCUCUGGCGCGCCCCUCGGGGCGCUGCGCUGCAACGGCCUGCGAGCUCCCCAUCCGACCCGUCUUGAAACACGGACCAAGGAGUCUGACAUGCGUGCGAGUCGACGGGUUCAGAAACCUGAGAUGCGCAAGGAAGCUGACGAGCGGGAGGCCCUCACGGGCCGCACCGCUGGCCGACCCUGAUCUUCUGUGAAGGGUUCGAGUUGGAGCACGCCUGUCGGGACCCGAAAGAUGGUGAACUAUGCCUGAGCGGGGCGAAGCCAGAGGAAACUCUGGUGGAGGCUCGAA